UACGUAGGGGGCGAGCGUUAUCCGGAAUUAUUGGGCGUAAAGCGCGCGCAGGCGGCUGAUUAAGUCAGGUGUGAAAGGCUGCGGCUCAACCGCAGAGCGGCACCUGAAACUGGUCGGCUUGAGUGCAGGAGAGGGGAGCGGAAUUCCCGGUGUAGCGGUGGAAUGCGUAGAGAUCGGGAGGAACACCAGUGGCGAAGGCGGCUCUCUGGCCUGUAACUGACGCUGAGGCGCGAAAGCGUGGGGAGCAAACAGG
rnacentral:rRNA from 1 species